rnacentral:rRNA from 1 species
UUAAUUUUUAACGGCCGCAGUACUUUGACUGUGCUAAGGUAGCGUAAUCAGUUGGCUUUUAAAUGGAGUCGAGAAUGAAAGGGUUUUCGGGAAUUAACUGUCUCUAUUAAGUUAAAUCUAACUUGCUUAAGGAGUGAAAAUUCUCCUAGUAAGAAAAAAGACGAGAAGACCCUAAGAGUUUUUACUAAGCUAUAUUUUUUAUUAAGAAGUUUUUGCUGGGGCGGCAAAGAGGCAAUAUAAACCCUCUUAGUUAAUUUUUAGUAGACGUUUGUGUAAAGAAGCAAUAAACUACCUUAGGGAUAACAGCAUAAUUUAAUUUAAGUUUGUGACCUCGAUGUUGGACUAGGGACUUUAUGGCUAGCAGUCUUAAAAGCGGGUUCUGUUCGAACCUUUUCCCCUAC